rnacentral:misc_RNA from 1 species
GAUGGUAAAAGCUGCAACAGGCUUGCUUUGACUGAAUCCAACAUCCUUCAUCACACAGUUAAUGAGUGCACCAAUGUCUUCACGUUGACGGUCAAUAGGAGGUUUCCUUGACUUGCUAUUAGGGGUUUCAACUUUUUUAGCAGGUGUUGAACCCGGUGGAUCAUUGGUUCUAGUUUCUUCUUUGAGGUGGUAGCCAUUUUCUUCUAUCUGCACCUUGGAAGCCAG